CGGGUCUUACUCCAGGACCCUCUUAAGUACUGGGACACGUUUAAUCACUGGGACAUUUACCUUACUAUCGAGUACGCGACUUUGCAAACGCGUUCUACGACUUUUGUAGAUUUGGCUUUAGCUUGUGGUUAUAAAAAGUUCUAUUCGGUGCGUCUAGAUGUCGCACAAAGUCCAUGGGGAGUUUCCAUUACGGUAACGGCCAUUUCUACGCUAUCUUCUCAUGAAUAUCAAAAAUCUUCGAUAAAUUGUAGCAAUAAAAAAAUUGCGCCUCGCAUCAAAAACUAAGUAUUCGAAAGCAGCCGCUUCUCCGUUUUUUCUUUGUAUCGUUUCUCUUGUGAUUUGUGACAGCGAGAUUUUGCAAAGGUUGCAAACUUGAGACAAGAGGGAGAUAUGAGGUAGAUGAACUUGAUAACACACACAAAGAGGAAUCAGUCUGACGGAUGGAUCUCGAGAGAGGCUGUCGUUGCGAUAUAUUAGCUCACCUCUCGCCAAUCUUGCUUUGAUGAAUUCGUU